CAGCUGCUGUGGAGCUCUGCAGCAUCUUCGUCGUAAUUUUCUAGAGGAGUCCCCUUGGAGAAUGAGUUUUCAUGGCUCAUGAAAAAAGAUGUCCAAAUAGGAUGCAGAAUAAGGAAAACAUGGCAAUUGGACAUCUCUGCUUUCAGGGUGAAGUAUUGCAUACCCACCAACAUUUUGCAGAUGAAACCAGGAUAUGUAGCCAAGCAACUUGAGAAGAACAAGCUAUGAGAGGCUCCUGCAGUUUGCUUUUGCCUGCAUCUACAUGGAAGGAUGAGAUUGCACUCUUUUGGCUCUCUCUCCUCAUUGAAUUGAAUGAAGGAGGAGAGAGACAACUGGGACAUUUUGAAAGCAACUGAAAAAUGAGAAACAGAGAAUUGAUCAGGAUAGUUGCUGUCAAAUCAGGACACUUGGAGAGCAUGCGAUUGACUGGAAAUAAAUAUUGUCAUUUCCUCUCUUUUUGGAAAGAAGAAGCUGGCUUUUAUUUUAUAUUAUGCUUCUGUAAGCACAACAUCAAUCUCUCUUGUAGCACAGUCAUCCAUAAAUGGAUUCCUGAUGUUAUCGAAUAAAUCAACUGUGGUCUCUUAGCUGGCAUCUUAUUCUCUCAAACCAUGCCAUUUGGGUCAUCGAAGCUAUCCUUUCACCGCUUGCAAAUCUCCUGCUGAUUUCUUGCCUGUAAAUAAAGUGCUUAGCUGUCCUCUUAUAUUUCCCUGAUCUGCAUCCAUUCCAUCUUGAAGUCAUGAGGGCCUCUGAUCUCUGAAGUUAAGGUCAAGACUCUUGUUUGAGCAGAGCCGUAGUCAAGGAUAGCAGAUAUUGUUGGCACUAAGGAGCGGCAGAUUAAAUGCGUGAUUUCCACAUUAUCUGGUGACUGACAGAACUGUAUUCUUAGGAGAACUAGUGAGACCCAAACAGUAUGCACUGAUAGCAUGGAGUUUUGCUUUCUUUAUAUAUCAUUGCACUUGUUUAAUACAGCAAUAAAGAGCAAAAACUAUGAGCCUGAUAAGUAAAUUGGUCUCCAUCCAGGACUAUCCAGGCAAGCACCUUACAAAAUACACUGUAUAAUAUAAAAUCUACUAAACCACAGUGUGUCAGUGUGGUGUGGCAGUUUGAGUGUUGAACUAUGACUGAAGGAGGCAGGAAUUUGAAUCCCAGUUCCAUCAUGGAAACUCACUGGGUGACCUUGGGUAAGUCACAUUCUCCUAGGCUCAGAAGGAAAUGAUGGCCAACCUCUUCUGAAUAAAUCUUGUGAAGAAAAAUGUUUAUAGGCUCAAUUUAGGAUUGCCUUAAAUUGGACACAACUUGAAGGCUAACAACAACAACAACGCCUCCCAUUAUCUUCUUUGCCGCACUCUUCUGUAAUAAGAGAUUGAGUGAUAAUCCAUUUCUAUCCAUUGCAUAUUGAACAUGAUAAACAAUAUGAAAUAGUAGCAUAUUGUCAGAAGUAGAUGAAAUCUUUUUUAUUCUUGUAAUAAAAAAUAUAUUGGUUUUCAUUAUUUGAACAUUCCAGUGUUUACUUAAUCUAGAAUUGUAGGUUCUUUAGAAUUUGUUUUGUUCUUCCUGCUGUUCUAGAACCAGAUUCCCAUUCAAAUAAUCUAAUGUUUAUGCAUUAAUUCAUUUCUAUAAGUAACUCUUCAUCAAUUUUUUAUUGCUGAGAAAUUAUCUUUCUGAUUUUACAUUUAGGCUUACAGUUUAAAAUUAUUUGGUUUAUAAUACAUUUUCUGUAUGUAUAUGUGUGUAUCUAUUGUUACUUUUAAACAUUGACUCCUAAUGUAAUUCAUUCUCAAUGUACCUUACAUGUUCCAUCUUUAAAACAAAUAUAUUACAUUAUUUGUCUCUUUUCUAUUACAGUAGAGUCUCGCUUAUCCAACGUAAAUGGGCCGGCAGAACAAUGGAUAAGCGAAUAUGUUGGAUAAUAAGGAGAGAUUAAGGAAAAGCCUAUUAAACAUCAAAUUAGGUUAUGAUUUUACAAAUUAAGCACCAAAACAUCAUGUUAUACAACAAAUUUGACAGAAAAAAGUAGUUCAAUACGCAGUAAUGCUAUGUAGUAAUUACUGUAUUUAUGAGUUUAGCACCAAAAUAUCAUGAUGUAUUGAAAACAUUGACUACAAAAAUGCAUUGGAUAAUCCAGAAUGUUGGAUAAGCGAGUGUUGGAUAAGUGAGACUCUACUGUACUCAUAAAAUUACAUUAAUCAAGGCAUCAGUAGGUUAAAUGUUUUUGAAUAUUUACAUAAAACUGUAAUUUAAGAUAAUAAGACUUUAAUAAGAUAAGACUGUCCAACUCUGAUUACCUAUAUACUCAAGUAUAAGCUAACCCUAAUAUAAACUGGCCAGGACCCUCUUUUGAGUAUAAGCUGAGGGGGGCUUUUUCAGCUGUAAAAAGAGCUGAAAAUGUGGCUUAUACUUGAGUAUAUAUGGUAAGUAAGCAUUACUCAAUACAUGAAUGAAAAGUAACAGCAUUACCUAUUGUUACUCUCUUAUUUUGGAAAAAAGCACUGUUAUUCCCUAAUUACUCCCCUCGCCAACAAUAACAUGCAAUAUCUGGAUCCUAACUAGAGUAGAAUGAUUCAAGCAAUUAUUGAGCGAUAAGUGAACACUUAUGGAAAUCUCAUUGAUUCAAUGAAUCCACUGUAUUUAAGUAAUAAUGCAGGUAUUGUCAUUGUGUUAUUUCCAAGCUAUGGAAGUGUCCACACAUGUGUAUACAGAAGAAUAAAUUUCUUAUUCAGUGUC